UGAGGACCCAUAGUUCGAACGGGGAGAUUCGUCGUCCACGUUUGCUGGCUCCCGUUGGUCUCGAAACCCCGGAAGGAAAUGUCUGAUACUUCUUUAAAGGAGGUAGGGCAUACGGCCAACGGCGAACGUUCCGGCUAUACGGAGAUGUGCACUUCUCCUCUAGUAGGACGUCGCGACCCGUUGCGUGUCGGUCUACGGGCUGAGUGGUAAAGACCGUUGCGUCGCCUCGUGCGUACGCGACGGACCCUCGGUGGCCCGACCGGCUGCGCGACGGUAUUGAAGACGGUAUCGGGUCGCAACACGAGCGUGCGUCAGGUCCGCCGCAAGCUGGUUCAGUUGCCCUGUUGGUACGGAUGGUAUUUCCGUUCACGGGCCUGAUCAGCUGUUAGCAGGCGGUGCCCUCGGACUGGCCAAAUUUCGAAUUACCGGUUUGCGACGCUAUUGCUUUGGGUACUCUCAGGACCCGUCUUGAAACACGGACCAAGAAGCCUAACAUGUACGCGAGUCAUUGGGAUGAAUAAACCUAAAGGCGAAAUGAAAGUGAAGGUCGUCCUUUGCGUCGACCAAGGGAGGAUGGGCGCUGUAAAGUGCUCCGCACUCUCGGGGCGUCACGUUCUCAUUGCGAGAAGAGGCGCACCUAGAGCGUACACGUUGGGACCCGAAGGGGGG
rnacentral:rRNA from 1 species